UGGUGGCCUUGCAAAGGCGCUUUAAUCUGAAGCUUCAUCCCGCUUUCCUGCGGAGCUUGGCUUGCACGCGAAGUAGAAGGCCUGCAGAUCCGGGCCUAUGUGAAGGUUUGAAUCUAGAUUCUGAAGAUUUGAUCUCUAUUUUACUGUAAUCCAGAUAAAAAUUUGAUCUUUAUUUAGUUCAAUAUAUAGAAAAUUUUUAGAUGCAACCCUGGUUAUUUGCUAGAAACAGACUUUUUUUCCUUCAAUCGGUGUCAGAGCCAGGCUUUG
rnacentral:lncRNA from 1 species